rnacentral:lncRNA from 1 species
UCCUGCCAAAGAGAAAAUCUUCCUCCUGUUUUUAGAGCUGCUGUCAGAAGACUUGAUAUGCUUAUGAGGCCAGUGACUGCAGAUGUGGGCAACAGAGCAGGGACCCAACUGGCUAGACUUCAGGGAGUUGGCCAACUGACGGUUCACACCUUAGAGGUCCUAUUCUCCAGCAAGCCUCUAACUCAGUCUCUGCUCCCCUCUCUCACUGCGGGACAAAGGAAACCCGGGUUGCUGUGUCUCCAACCCCACCAUCUUUCAUAA